UUUUCGUAGGUGAACCUGCGGAAGGAUCAUUAGUGAAUUUUGGGGAGUCCCGCUUAACCGGCGAAGGCCCCGUUUUCUACUACCUUUACACCCUGUGCAAUUGUCCCUUUUUAUUAUAACCCUUGUGCAUUACCAAAGGUUGUUGUCUAAACACAUUUGAUAAAUGAAAGAAAAACUUUCAGCAAUGGAUCUCUUGGCUCUCGCAUCGAUGAAGACGCAGC
rnacentral:misc_RNA from 1 species